rnacentral:rRNA from 1 species
UACAGAGGUCCCAAGCGUUGUUCGGAUUCAUUGGGCGUAAAGGGUGCGUAGGCGGCUUCCUAAGUUUGAUGUGAAAUCCUGGGGCUCAACCCUGGAACUGCAUUGAAUACUGGGAGGCUAGAGUACUGGAGAGGAAACUGGAAUUUACGGUGUAGCAGUGAAAUGCGUAGAGAUCGUAAGGAAGACCAGUGGCGAAGGCGAGUUUCUGGACAGUUACUGACGCUGAGGCACGAAGGCCAGGGGAGCAAACGGG